rnacentral:rRNA from 1 species
AUGGCCGCCAGGCGCGCCGACGCCGCGCUGCUCACCGACGCGCAAGGGGUGCUCUCCGGCAUCCUCACGGCCGAGGACAUAUCGGGUCGAGUGAUAGCCGAGGGUCUGAGGCCAGAGGAAACAAGCAUGGCCAAGGUGAUGACGCGGACUCCGGUUUUCGUCAUGUCCAACUCAUCGGCCACCGAGGCACUGCAGAAGAUGGUCCAAGGCAAAUUUAGGCAUCUUCCUGUGGUGGAAAAUGGUGAAGUCACUGCCAUGUUGGACAUUACCAAGUUCCUCUGGGAUGCAAUUUCAAGAAUGGAGCAGGCAGCAGAACAAGGCAGUGCUAUAGCAGCUGCCAUGGAAGGGGUUGAACGGCAGUGGGGAAAUGAAUUUGCAGGUCCGCACGCAUUCAUAGAAAAUCUUCGAGACCAGAUGUUCAAACCUUCUCUGUCAACUAUCAUAUCUGAAAAUAGCAGUGUUCCAGUGGUAUCUCCUUUAGAUCUAGUAACUGUGGCGGCCAAAAAGAUGCGAGAAUACCGAGUUAACUCAGUGGUUGUCAUGACAGGGAACAUAUUGCAAGGGAUCCUCACCUCCAUGGAUCUGGUCUUGCGAGUAGUGGCACAAAGUCUGUCCCCCGAGGUAACCCUCGUAGAAAAGGUUAUGACUGCAAGUCAUGGUUGUGCCACACUGGACACAUCAAUCCUCGAGGCUCUACAGUCAAUGCAAGAUGGCAAAUUUCGUUAUAUUCCUGUUGCAAACAAAAGAGGACAGAUUGUCGCCUGUUUGGAUGCUCUACAGUUAGCCCACGCAAGCAUCUCCAUGGUUGAGGGAGCCUCCGGACGAAAUGAUACGGCAAAUGCUAUGGUUCAGAAGUUUUGGGAUUCAGCUCUUGCCUUGCAUCCAGCAGAGGAAUAUGACGAGCAUAGUGAAGAGUCUCGUACGGCAGCGUCAGACAGUGUUGAAGGGAAGCAAACACCCCCUCAUGUCGGCAACGCGUUCUCUUUCAAAAUUGAAGACAGAAAAGGACGGAUGCACAGAUUCAGUUGCGUUUCAGAGAGUUUGGAUGAGCUUGUGUCUGCUGUUGCAUACAGAUUGGGAAUGGAAAACGAGAAGGCGAAUGUAAAUCUUCUGUAUGAUGAUGAUGAAGGUGACAGAGUUCUUCUUGCCACUGAUGGUGACCUCGUUGCGGCAAUUGAGCAUGCAAGAUCAGCCGGAUGGAAGGUUCUGAGGCUGCACAUGGAGGACGGUUCCGAGACCGAGACCGGGGCGGUGUCCAUUUCCUCGUUGCCUGUAGAUGCCUCGGUGCCGUGGAGAGGCUGGCCAUCGUCCGUCGGGCUGGGGAUUGUUGCCGGCGCGGCUGCGGUCGCCGGCGUCGUGGUAACUGCCUACUUGAGACGCUCCGAGCUCUGA